UACCAGCCUCAGACGGUGGCUGAGGCGCUAUGUGGAGGCGUUAUUCCCAGGUAUGAAAUACCUGAAAAAAUCUAUAGUGAUAACGGAACCCGUUUUGUAGAUAAAGUGGUUUGCAGGUUUGGAAGACUAUUCCAUAUGGAUUUAAAAUACCAUUGUGCGUACACUGAAGAGAAAAAAUAACUAAUGAGAUUUACUUAAGGGAAUCCUCGUAACAGUUUUCACUAACGGUUCUUGAUUGAAUUUUACUGCAUUUAUGAAUAUAACAAUUAGAAGUGAGAUUAUGAUCGAGUCUUAAGUAAAUGGAGCAAACCUAAAUUUCUCUAAUAAAAUGUACAUAAUAUUAGUGGAUGCUGAGAAAGUGAUUACAACAAUUUGAAAAGUUGAUCUUACUCAUAGGCAAUCGAGAUUUUUGAUUGCUCAUAAAAAAUAAGUAACCUUCACUUCUUUACUAGGAAAAUGUAUGUAUUUGCGUAAUCUUUAGAUUAUUAUGUAGAUGUGUAGGGAUAAAUAGGUUUUAUAAGUAUGCAAAGAGUUUUUUUUCUCUCUCAGUGUACCAUCCGUGAAGUGCAUGACUUGUAGAAAGAUUGAAUGGAACCAUAAAAAAUAGACUGAAGCAAUGCAUGGAAGAAACAGGAAGACCCUGGACUCAAUGUGUCGAUUUGGUAAAAAUGUACAUCACUAGCACAACCAGGUUGAAGCCUUAUGAAAUGAUUUUUGGACGAGCAUACCGUUUACCGUAGAUUAAGAACAUUUGGGAAUUAGAUGAAGAAGUAAACCUUGCAGUCUUUAUGAGAAAAUGUUGGAGAAACAAUAGCAGCUCCCAUCUAUCAAUGACUAUAUAUAUUCAGCUUUUAAACAGGCAGAUCAAUUAGUGAAACCAGGGGACUGGGUGCUAAUAGAAAACAUAAAGGAGAAACGUUGGUAUUCACCUGAGUGGGAGGGGCCGUAUCAGGUACUGCUGGCUACCCCUACUGCAAUUAAAAUCGCUGAGAGAGCAGCUUGGAUUCAUUUAACACAUUGCAAAAAGGUCAUCUCGUUCGAGGACCCCGACAGGGGAGGUGACCAAAAUCCACAGUAGGGUGGACUCAGGGGAUUUACAGCCUGGGUAGACCCGAGAGAGAGGGUGUCGCAGCGCUAAUCUCGUUGUGGCGAAGACUUUCCAAGCGCCAAACCAAGCAGAGGGGCCGAUCCUCGACAAGAUGACCAAAAAUAGGUUACAUGGUGUAAUGGGGUGUGCCCUGUUUUUUACAGUGGCCGUUCUCACUGCUCUCUGUUUCUGGUACUUCUGGGAUCCCUGCGCAGGCCUCCCACGUACCCUUACGACUGACCGAGCAAAUACUGUUGACCUACCAACAGCGCCAGCUCCCCUAAGCCGAAACGCAGAUUUACAGGUGACAUACAUGGGGGAACAGUUUACAGCCCGUUCUACGUCACUGACAUGCAGAACUCCUGCCGGAAAAUAGCAAGAUUAAAACAAAUGAGCCCUAUGUUUGUUACAAUAGUUAUUACGACCAUUAUAAUUCCACUUUCAUCGAUUAAAGUGAGAGGGUGCAAAGCCUCUGAUUGGAUGGGUUAUGAAUUCUAAAUGACGUUGGUUAUGUGGAGUUCCAUUAGUUGGGGUGACACAUUCGCCACAUCUGAGCCAUCAUGGGACCCUUCCUCUUAUGGGUGGACUCCAGCCUCAAGAAAAUGGAAACAGAGAUUACCUAUGAGUAUUCGGACAGCAGGACUGAUUCAUCCCUAGUCCCGACUUUAAAUACAAGCAGCCUCCUAUUAGAUCAGAAACAUUUCUUAUAUAGUAGAACUGACAAAGGUCCACCUUGUUCCAGGUUAAGUCUUUGUGUGUAUAAAUCAGGAGAAGACUCAUGUGUAAAAUUUUACCUAUGUUCAAACACCAUGGAAGAAAAUGAGGAUAAAACAGGUGGUAAAAAGACAAAAAAAUAAAUAAA